UUGGCCUUAGCUCAGUUGGCAGAGCAUUGGGCUAGUAUCCCAAAGGUUGCAGGUUCGAUUCCCACAGUGGUAAG